CAUUGUAAGUACAUAGCUGUUACUUUUUGUUUAUUGAACGAUAAUGAAGUGCAGCCAUAAGUUCUGUUAAAAUCUGUGUUAGCAAGACAACAAGCAACUAUCUGAAACAACACCCAAGCUACCCACGCGUCGCAGGUAGCUGCUGAUACCAAGUAAUUGUCUGGACUAUGGCCAUUUGUGAGAUUGCUCCAACACUCAAACUGCCAGUAUUGUACGCUGGCUGACAAAACUACAAUACACAAGGCUAGUAAAGAUGCCAAGAAUCCAAGGAAAUAUUUGUGAUUGUUUGCUCCUGAGGAUGAAAUUUAUUAAUGAAAACAACGUGUAAUAUGAAGAAUUUUGAAACUUGGGUAAAUUUAAUCCUACACAUACCAAUGCAGUUAUUCACCCAAGGACAGUGGUGGUCGAAUCGAGCAACGCAUCGAUCACACGAAGAACAAUGCUUUGAGCGUAUCGGUCUUCUAACUAAGCAGCUACUGCAAAACCAUUGUGGUUCAAAGCCACCAGAUUCUGCCAACUCAAUGAUUGUCUGAAAUGUGUAUAACCUACACUUAGGCUUAUAGAAAAAAGUACUGCUCAUAUUAUCGACAUGGAAAUUCGUUUGAAAAAUUCUUUAAGCCUAAUAGAAUGAACUGGUUAUUCAUAUGUUGAACAUAAGUUUUUGAAGUGAAUUUCGCACAGGCAAAUAUAAAAUAUAUUUAGUACAUACAUUUAAUUUGUCUUCAUGCGUGGCUGUAAUCACUCCUGGAUCUCCCCUCCAUGAUUUUAAAAAGCAUGUCCACAAAGGAACGGAUCCAACAACUAACAUGAACCACUGAUACCAAGCUGCAUGUACUCCCAGCCAAAAUAUCCAUGUUAUAUAUAUCCACAUCUAUAAUUUGUAACAAACAUCUCUGAACUUACAUUCUUUAAAUAGUCGACUGGUCAAAAACUUUUAUUCUGAUUUAUAUAUUUCAUGACUUUUUGAGUAUUAUAUAUAUAUAUAUAUAUAUUCACCUUUGUGGACAAAUAUAUCGACAUGGGCAGAAUGUGAAAGAGACGCUCAUCAAACAGAAAGUGAUUCGCUAAGUAGACGGCUAUGUAGAUGGUGAGGAAGGCACCUAAUUUUGCUAAAUAAUCGAAUCCACUUUGUAGGACUAACCCGAUGAUGUAAAACACGAAGAAAGGAGUGCUGACCAUACAAUACCAUCUCACUCUCUGAAAUUCAUGAUAAAAUAAUCAUUUUAAGCAUCAGAAUAUAUUUAAUAAUAUUAAACUAAUGUACCUUGUUCCAUAUGAAUUAUCAAUUUAAACUAUUACAACUAUUAUUGUGAUUUACUAAGUACCGAGGUACAAAUUUCAUGACUGUCAUCAGGAUGUCAUAAUACCUCAGGAUUUACUAGGCAAUGAUUUUUAUCAACGAUACUUCAAGGAUUAUUAGACUGGUAUAAAAAGAACUGUUUGGAAUUGUAAUCGAAUUUCAAGUAAUGUGAGUGUUCAUUCAACAAGAGCAUACUACAACACAAUUUAUAUCGAUCACUUAGAGUUCAUAAAUUUUCGUUGUGGUUCUCUCCUUCUACAAACAAAAUCAUUCACAUGAUAAGAAUUCACUGUAAUUGAAAGAGGAAAACAAAUUGAGUCUAAUUGAGAGUAUAUUACUAUUGCGAUAGAUCACGUAUAGUUAUAGCUCACAAUGUCAUAUCAACAGUUCUUUACUGUGCUACGCAUAUCAAUAACCACCCAACUAUUAAUUAAAGCUUGUUUAGUUUUAUCAUAAAGUGGCUUGUACAAAUAAAAUAUCUUUGACUGUUUCA